GAAAUGCGAUAAGUAAUGUGAAUUGCUGAAUUCAGUGAAUCAUCGAAUCUUUGAACGCACAUUGCGCCCGCCAGUAUUCUGGCGGGCAUGCCUGUUCGAGCGUCAUUUCAACCAUCAAGCCCCGGGCUUGUGUUGGGGACCUGCGGCUGCCGCAGGCCCUGAAAAGCAGUGGCGGGCUCGCUGUCACACCGAGCGUAGUAGCAUACAUCUCGCUCUGGGCGUGCUGCGGGUUCCGGCCGUUAAACCACCUUCGUAACCCAAGGUUGACCUCGGAUCAGGUAGGAAGACCCGCUGAACUUAAGC
rnacentral:misc_RNA from 1 species